UUUUAAAGGAUAGAAGUAAUCCAGUGG
rnacentral:tRNA from 1 species